GCAAAUCAAGGCAGUAUUUAAAGAAGAAUUUGAGAAUGAUUAUCCGGUUAGACAUGGCAUAGUAGUCCAAUCGAGCAAUUCAGCAAAGUGUGAAAUCAAAUAGAAAUAGAGACUAGUGGAGCAUACAAACUCUUCUAACGGGGGUUUGCUAUGGUAAGUCCUUCUCUGAGUUCCUCGAGACGAGAGAAUCUUGAAAUAGAUUAUGACCUCACGAUAUAUCUUACAUGUUCCGCAAAGGAAGUACGAAAAUGUAUUAGAAUUUGAAAAGAUUUUACCAGUGGCCAGGGAUGGAGAAUGACAUAACGGUUUUUGUAGGUCGAUGUUUGACCUGCUAGUAGGUGAAGGUCCUGAGACAUCGCCCAACAUGAUUACUACAACCCUUAAAUGGUAUUGCAUGCUAUUCAUUGUAUUCGCGGCUGUUCCAGCCUAUGAAAGAGGAAUUUUUGGGCAUUUCAUUACAGGGUCACCAUUCUCAGCUGGAGUGAUAUCAACAAAUGACUUGGGAUUCAUUCCAGUGGGCAUGAAGGGACCUUUCAUGGACAAACAAGCCCUCCAUGGCACGCUCGCUUAGCGUUCAUGGGUGCUAUGAAAUGUUGGGUCUUUUAUUCUCAAAAUCAGGCUUGUAAAAAGGAUUAGGAGAAAAUGUAAGUACGGAGGUCAAGGGUUCAGGGAUGGAUGCUUCUAGUGUUGUUUUAAAAAGGGAUAUGGCUACAUAAAUGUAUCUUCAGAUUGCCAAGAACACAACAGAGUUUUAACAAUAUCUGAGUAGUUGGGGACAGACCAACCAAAAUAGCUUACUUCAUUUCAGGCGAGACUACAUAUCUAGUAGAUCGAUAGGAUCUAUUAUAUAUCAAGAGUUAGUAUGCCUGAGGAGGUGCCAGUCUCUAUUGUGUCAGACCGUGACACUAGGUGCUUGUGCAACAAAGUGGUUCACUUAGUAAAAGUCUCAUGGUAUACCCAUUGCGAUGAAGAGGCAACUGGGAUCGUGAAGAGAUAUGAGAAAUGUCUAUCCCAAGUUCUUCCGAGAGAUAUCAACUUUCGAGGACGAAAGUUUUUAAGGUGGGGAGAAUUUGUAAUACCCGAGCCUCAAUUGAAAGUUUAAAAUCUAAGUUUACCUUAAAAGUCGAUCUCUCUCAAGUUUAUUGAAGGUCUUAAAGACCAAAAUCCGAGAUGAGAGUGAAGAGAAAAAUGAUGAGGAAUAAAAGAACGGAAGAAAAAUAUAAAAGAAAAAUAAUAGAAAA